rnacentral:rRNA from 1 species
UACGGAGGGGGCUAGCGUUGUUCGGAAUUACUGGGCGUAAAGCGCACGUAGGCGGUUUUGUAAGUUAGAGGUGAAAGCCCGGGGCUCAACUCCGGAAUUGCCUUUAAGACUGCAUCGCUCGAAUUGUGGAGAGGUAAGUGGAAUUCCGAGUGUAGAGGUGAAAUUCGUAGAUAUUCGGAAGAACACCAGUGGCGAAGGCGACUUACUGGACACAUAUUGACGCUGAGGUGCGAAAGCGUGGGGAGCAAACAGG